GAGUACUUAAGGAGCUAAGUGGGGAAAUAAGUGAACCUCUGUAUUUAAUUUUUCAAGAUUCUUUUGUUUCAGGUAUUGUACCAGAGGAUUAGAGGAAGGCAGAUGUUGUUCCAAUAUUUAAAAAGGGUUCAAAAUCCUUGCCUGGAAAUUAUAGACCUGUGAGCUUAAAGGGACACUGUAGUCACUAUAAGCAUUUCAUCUCUUUGAAUUAGUUAUAGUGCCUGGAGUGCCCUGGCACUGUCCCUCCAUUCAGUGUUGCACCAUGUUCGUGCAGUAUGCCACAAAAUAAGAGUCCCUGGCCACCCACAGUUCGGCCCCUUCAGUAUGUGUAGCUAAGGCAGAGAUUACACACUUCCUUGUUGUCAUACCCAUUCAUACCGUCAGUUGGAACUCUGACAGGCUAAAAUCAGUCAGCUGACACUCUCAGCCAAUCACAGCUGCCUAUUGCUGCUCAGGCUAAUACUUCCAUAUUAGCCAAAGCAGCACAGAGGGGAUGGAUUGCCAG